AACGCUGGCGGCAGGCCUAAUACAUGCAAGUCGAGCGCGCCCUUCGGGGUGAGCGGCGGACGGGUGAGUAACGCGUGGGAAUAUGCCCUUCUCUAAGGAAUAGCCUCGGGAAACUGAGAGUAAUACCUUAUACGCCCUACGGGGGAAAGAUUUAUCGGAGAAGGAUUAGCCCGCGUUAGAUUAGGUAGUUGGUGGGGUAAUGGCCUACCAAGCCUACGAUCUAUAGCUGGUUUGAGAGGAUGAUCAGCCACACUGGGACUGAGACACGGCCCAGACUCC
rnacentral:rRNA from 1 species